UGCUCGCUUCGAACAUCAUACCAGUCUCCGUUGUAUCAACAACCAUGAAGGGAGUUAUUGUUUGCAUUCUUGGUACUGUGAUAUUAUUUUUGGUGAGAUCUGCAUCUAGUCAUUGCGAUUCAUUGACUGGUUUACGAGAUGCGAAAUGUACAACAAAGAGCCGAUGGGUGACCACACGUUAUAGAGCAUGCGGGUGAUUGUGGCGAAAACGAUGUACAGUGAGAAAAACUUAUUGGAAUAAAGUAACAUAUUAUUCAUGCAAAGUUCGAUGUAGAGUUGAUGGAGGAUGGAAUACUUGGCACAGCUGGGGUUCAUGGAGCUACUGCAAGCGAAAAAGUGGUUACUCUUGCAUCGAAUACCAAACAAGGAGGCGAUUCCGACUGUGUAAUAAUCCAAGGCCUAAAAUGGAGGGAGAUGUUAUGGAAGCAGUAGACAAAUCGAUACCAUCAGGUCAUGUCUUUUAAAGGUCAAUGGAAAAUGGAGUAAUUGGGGAUCUUGGGAUUCAGUUGGAGGGUGUUUGAAGACUUGUGGAGAAGGUUAAAAAUUGAUGCCCAGAGAACGAUCAUGUUCCAAUCCUCGACCGCAAUGUGGUGGUCACUACUGCUAUGGAACAACACAUAAGUAUAGAAUGCAAUCGUGUUCACUCCCAAAAUGCUGAAGAGAUUUGUAUUGCACAAAAAAUAAAGAAAUUCGAUUCAAAGAAUUUUCACUAUAUCUUU